GACCUCUUUAUCAAAAUAUUCCCGGUCCUGGUGUAUUAAAUAUCAUUCAACAUCCUGGUAGAUAGAUAAAAGUAAAAUGUCUGCCAUGGGUAGAUUGAUGUAUUUUGUUGUCUUACUGGGUUUACAAUUUUAUAAUAUACAAGGUCAAACAUACAGUUUAUCAGGAUCAGCAUCAUAUGGUAUUAGAGGAAAUGAUUACAGAUUUACUUGUCAGUUAUCUGGAUAUAUAUCUCCAGGGGCACAGUUCAAAAAGGACGGUAGAGAUAUAUGUACAGGAUUAUUAACCACGUGUCAAUCAUUAUCAACGGAUACAAGAUAUACAUGUGGUUGCAUCAAUGGUAACCGCAGAUCACUGUAUCUUAAUAUAACCAAUGUGCAAUCAACUGAUGCUGGAGAAUGGACCUGUACAGACCUGGAUUUUCGUCGAGUCACUAGUCCACCAGUAACUCUUCUUGUUUAUUAUGGACCAGAGAAUAUCAGAUUUACACCAACCAAUUCUAGUAUAACAGUGAUAGAAAAUGAAAGUAGAUCUGUAACCUGUUCAGCUGACUGUAAUCCACCGUGUAAUAUAAACUGGUAUAAAGGAUUUAAUGCUAGUGGUACCAUAAUAUCAUCUACUGGACUUCUCUCACUGAACACCAUCGACAGGCAUAAAGCUGGUUAUUACACCUGUCAGGUUACGAAUACACAGAUACACCAUGAUUCACUACACUCUAAGAAACUAGUGGUUAUAAUACAUUAUGAAACCACUGACGAUGUCAAGAAGAGAUGGCUACUUGAAGACAUAGAGCGGAUUCGAUUGGAACGACAGAAACUGAAUCUACAAAUAUCGUGUUUGACAAGUAAUCCAACAAAUUGUAACUGUGAUUGUAAUUAGUCACAUAAAUAUACUUCUCGAAUUAUUAUCCACGACUAAUUAUUGUACGAUAUUCACAUAUUUGAAUUCGUCUCACAAUCUUGUAACGAAAUGUUUGUCGUAAAUGUUUUCAGUAUUUACCGAGUAAAUCUUUUACAAGAGAUGAA